rnacentral:rRNA from 1 species
GAGCUUGCUCUUCGAUUCAGCGGCGGACGGGUGAGUAAUGCCUAGGAAUCUGCCUGGUAGUGGGGGACAACGUUUCGAAAGGAACGCUAAUACCGCAUACGUCCUACGGGAGAAAGCAGGGGACCUUCGGGCCUUGCGCUAUCAGAUGAGCCUAGGUCGGAUUAGCUAGUUGGUGAGGUAAUGGCUCACCAAGGCGACGAUCCGUAACUGGUCUGAGAGGAUGAUCAGUCACACUGGAACUGAGACACGGUCCAGACUCCUACGGGAGGCAGCAGUGGGGAAUAUUGGACAAUGGGCGAAAGCCUGAUCCAGCCAUGCCGCGUGUGUGAAGAAGGUCUUCGGAUUGUAAAGCACUUUAAGUUGGGAGGAAGGGCAUUAACCUAAUACGUUAGUGUUUUGACGUUACCGACAGAAUAAGCACCGGCUAACUCUGUGCCAGCAGCCGCGGUAAUACAGAGGGUGCAAGCGUUAAUCGGGAAUUACUGGGCGUAAAGCGCG